UACAGAGGUCUCAAGCGUUGUUCGGAUUCAUUGGGCGUAAAGAGUGUGUAGGCGGUGCUCUAAGUCUGUUGUGAAAUCUCCCGGCUUAACCGGGAGGGUGCGGCGGAAACUGGAUGGCUUGAGUGUGGGAGAGGGAUGCGGAAUUCCAGGUGUAGCGGUGAAAUGCGUAGAUAUCUGGAGGAACACCGGUGGCGAAGGCGGCAUCCUGGACCAUUACUGACACUGAAUAGCGAAAGCCAGGGGAGCAAACGGG
rnacentral:rRNA from 1 species